AGCAGUCGCCGCGGUAAUACAGAGGGUGCGAGCGUUAAUCGGAUUUACUGGGCGUAAAGCGUGCGUAGGCGGCUAAUUGAGUCGGAUGUGAAAUCCCCGAGCUUAACUUGGGAAUUGCAUUCGAUACUGGUUAGCUAGAGUGUGGGAGAGGAUGGUAGAAUUCCAGGUGUAGCGGUGAAAUGCGUAGAGAUCUGGAGGAAUACCGAUGGCGAAGGCAGCCAUCUGGCCUAACACUGACGCUGAGGUACGAAAGCAUGGGGAGCAAACAGGAUUAGAUACCCGAGUAGUCCCUGUCUCUUAUAC
rnacentral:rRNA from 1 species